UUCUGGCUCCGCAUGCCAGGUAUGGACGUCAGGUAAGGUAUCGGAUCCUAGCCUCACAGGCCAAAUUUGACAGCUGGGUGGGGCUGUCCACUGGUUAAUCACCUGACAACACCAUGACAUCAGGUAACUUUUUAGUCCUGAAGUUAGGACCUCAAAGCAACACGAGGCACUUACAAAGAGCCUUUAAGCCACCUGAGACUUUGGUUUUAGAGCCAAAACCUGCAGGGGCACUGGUAGAGACAACGUACAACGGUGAUCCUGGUUUGUUUCCGGUGGGAGAGGGCGAUCACUGAGACUCCCAUUUUGACCAGUGGAGCCUAUGAUCCAGAACCCCCAGGUCAGGUCUCCCCAAUGCAGUGGCCAGAUGAGGGAAGCUAUAGAGUCCUUCAAGGAAUAGAACUGGAGAGCAGACCCCACGGACCUUGGUGAAAGAGCUGUUUUCCAUUAUUAAAAAGAUCCAGUUGUUCAAUGUAACUCCACCCAGUUUUGGCUAACUUCCCUCUUACUCCAUCCCACAUAAUUCAGGAAAGUUCUUCCAAUGUCCAGGGGAGACUUUGAGAGAGGAGGAGGAGGAAGGUUGGGUGGAUAUGUCUCCUCCUAUUCACAUUUCUCAGGAUCAAAGCCAAGAAAAGGAAUUCUGGCAACAAGAUGCCACCUGGAUAGAAAUGGCUAGUAAAAGGAUGGGAUGUAGCUGUUGCAGCCAAAAUAGCACGGUUGUAACAAAAACAAUAUAGGAAUUGAUUUACUGGAAAUGAGUUUUAUUUCCAUUUUGGUAUUGUAUCAUAUAAAAUCGCAUAAUGACAGCAGCAUAUGCAUUUUAAUUACGAGUUACAUAUGAUCCAUGCAAAGGGACAACAAGCUGGCUUCAUAGGCGGGUGAAGGGAAGGAGGAGGUCUCUGCAACAUUCUGUGGGCUGGGGUACAGAGUUCCUGCUCACAUGGUCAUGCAACAUAUUACACACCCAUUAGCUAAUAAAAGUUUUCAUUCGUCAAUAAAUUAUUGCAGAGCAAUAGAAAAUGAUAGCAUGUUUUAAAAUAAUGCUUGGACGUCCUAUGGAAUUAAGGGAUGCGGUUACCACACCAUAGAGUACAGAUUUCCUACCUGUU